UUUGUUUCUUCCAAUCCCAGUAACAACCCAAUCCUGGUUUUAGCAAAAAAAAAAAGAAGGUUAUCAGGUAAUUAAAGAAAGAACAAAUCAAAUUUAAGAAACAUACAUACAGACCUCAAACGGUGGGGACAAAAAGUAGUCCAAAGGGUAGUCUUCACGAGACAGAGUGGUUUUAACGAGAAUUUGCCAUCUAGAAUAUAUAGAAUAAUCGGUGAAUUGUGUUGGUCUCAUCGUCGUGCGCAACACGCUUUCA
rnacentral:lncRNA from 1 species